CACAAACCAAGGCUUCACCUUCAAAGUUUCUACACACAAACCAGUAAGCCAACAACACCAUUUGGAAAUCUUGAGUGGAUUUUUCCAAGUCAGAACCUUGACCUUCUCUGUUCAUUCUGCACAGGAGAAAUGUCAAAGUGAUACCAUCCUCUCAUGACUUCGGUUUGCAGCAUACAAAGUUGUUCUUUCAAAUUGGAUUCUUCUUUAUUUUUUAAUAAUUUGAUUGUUUACUUGCAUGUGAUACAGGUUUAUACUUUUUAUUCACAUGUGUAUCAUACAAACUCAUCUCUUCAAAGUCCCAGAAAAUGAAAUGACAAGAUAACUUUAUUUUGGUGUAGAAAAUUUUGAAAAAUCUGCAGAAUUUUAUCAUCCUAUACAUUUUCCAUGAAGUUUUCAAAGCCUCCUUGUAUAUAGGGAUUUCAGAAUUUUCUUACUAAAAUAAAUUUAUCAAUAACUCCAUGUUCCAUGGACCUCUCGAAAUACCCUUGCACAUACUGAUGGGCUACAGUGUGGUGUUUCGACGUGUGCAUUUUAUGUGGCAUCUUAAAAUGUAUAUAUCAAAGUGGAGUCAAGUUAACGUGGUGUUCGUGCCUUGGUGCACAUUUGCCUACCCCUCCAAGACCCUGGGAGAGGCUGCAAGGCACCACUCACACAGGCCUGGGAGCUGCACAUUCCAGGCCAAGUCUCAGCUGCCAAACACUAUGGAAGUCCUCUGAGAACAAUUAGGAUUUUUUACUAGAUGCCUUCAUGCCGUGCCCACUGGAAAUGUGUACCUUGGCACAACCAGGCCUCCAGACUCCUGUCACCUUCCUACUGCAACUGGAAUUGGCAUCGCAGCCCCUGGAAAAUGGGCUCCUCUCUUCUUUACAUUCUGCAUGAAUCACCCGCUCUGUAGAAGAACAGGGCUUGCCUCCGAGGCCUGCAGACAUAACAGACCGACCGCUUUUCCCGUCCGACUUUUCCCAGGGGCUGGUGGGGCACCGCGAAUCCCUCCUCAAGCCGCUCACCUCAAUAGGUCUGACUUGGGUGCUGCUCAGAAGUGAUGGGUUACUGAAUGACUAGACGUGUCUGGCACUGGCUCAACCUGCUCACAAACAGCAUUUUCAUGCAGUCAUGUACAGAAAGGUUUCUUGCAACAAUUAGUAUGGAAUUGCCAGUGAUUUCCAAGAUUUUGACAUACCUGGAGGUGGUGGUUCGAGUCUUGGUUGCUCCACUUCCAAUCCAGCUCCCUGCUAAUGGCCUGGGAAAGCAGUGAAAGAUGGCCCAAAGUGUUUGGGCCCCUGCCACCCAUGUGGGAGACUCCGAUGAAGCUCCUGGCUCCUGGUUUCAGCCUGGCCCAGCCCUGGUUGUUGUAGCAAUCUGGUCUGAGCUCUCAGCACAUGUCCACCGGGCCUGUUCUGGGCCCUCUGGACUUCCUGCUAGACUGCAGGAAAGGCCUUCCCUUUGGGCCUGGAGCCACCCUUCACUUCCCUUCCGCUAAGGAGAAAAGAGCCAGCUUGUCCCUGGGAUGAUCUAACUACACAGUCACACAGUGGAGAAGGGACUCCAUGUGGUUGCCCACCACCUCCUCAACGCCGGACACCAUGCCUCCAUGGUUGCAGUGUUCCGAUGGAGAGCGAUUCAAAGUCGAUGUGGAAAUUGCCGAACAGUCUGUAACUGCCGAGACCAUGCUGGAAGGUUUGGAAAUGGAUGAGGAAGGGGAUGAUGAUGAUGCGGCUCCUCUGCGAAGUGUGAAUGCAGCAAUAAAAAGGGGAGUCCGUGGGGCACCACCACCCAGAGGGCCUCCCUCACUUGAAGACAAGGAGAGGAAGGAAAAGCAGGCGGAUGAUAUCCUUGUCCAGGACCAAGAAUUUCCAAAAGCUGCCCAAGGAACACUCUUUGAAAUUAUUCCAGCUGCAAGCUGCUGAAACAUUGAAGGCCAUUGACAAUCUGAUCAAGGGGGAAACUCCAGAGGAGAUUCCCAGGCCUUCAACAUAACAAGUGAGCUUGCUGAAGACAAGGCAGCCCAGGCACACAGAGAGAACUCAUGGUGGGAAGAGAAGAGAAGAAGUGCCUGACACUGCAACCUGGUAAAGAUUGCUCCAAAUAUUAGUUGCAUUGCUCUGUGUCUAAUUGUUGAUAGCAGGCAAACAGUAGACCAAUGCAGCAGCAAAUCUGUAGUUUUAGGAGAGUUUUUCUCUUAAGACUUGGACUAGGUCUUGCCAUUCUCUUCCAGCCUGUAGGGUUUCUGAUGAAGAGUUAGCCCUGAGUAUAGUUGGAGAUCCUCUGAAAGUCAUCUGGCUUUUCUUCCAUGCACAUUUUAGAAUCUUUUCUUCAUGUUUUACUGUGGAGAGUUUGCAGUGUGUUGAGGGGAAGAUCUUUUCUGGUCAUGUCUAUUAGGAGUUCUAUGCACUUCCUGUACUUGGACGUCCCUUUCUUUCUCCCAAUUGGGGAAGUUUUCUGUAAUUAUUUCACUAAUAGGUCUUCUAGCCCAUUCUCUCUUUCCAGACCUUCAGGAACUUCUAAGAUCCAUAUGCUGGGUUGUUGAUAGUGUCCCAUAAAUCUCCAACAGGUUUUCUAACUUCCUUUUUUUUUUUUUUUUUUUUUUUUUUGGUCAGGGUGUAUGUUAGUAGGAAGCUAGAUUGGAAGUGGAGGAGCCAGGACUCAAACCGGCACUCUAAUAAGUUAUGCAGGCAUCCUAAGCAGCAGCUUAACCCACUGUACCACAACACCCAACCUCUAAUAUGAUUGUCUCUGAAACUCAUCUACUGGAAUUUUUGCAUGCAGAUGCAGACCAUAAACUUCCAAGUAGAGCCCUUGGAAGAGCUGCACCUUUUCCCAUUACACCUUCUAGAAGAAACAUUUUGGGAGCCGUCACUGUGGCGUAGCAGGUGAAGCUGCCACCUGUGAUGCCUGCAUCCUCUAUGGGCACUGGCUUGUGUCCCAGCUCUUCCACUUCUUAUGCAGCAUCCUGCUGAUGCACCUGGGAAAGCAGUGGAAGAGGACCAAGUACUCGGACCCCUGCCACCCACAUGGGAGACCUAGAAGAAGCUCUUGGCUUUGGUCUGGGCCAGCACUGGCUGUUGCAGCCAUCUGGGGAGUGAACCAGCAGAUGGAAGAUCUCUCUCUCUCUCUCUCUCUCUUGCUCUAACUCUGACUUUCAAAUAAAAAUAAAAUAAAUCCUUAAAAAAAAAAGGAAGAAAGAUUUUGGGACUCCUUGAAGGGCUAUUCUUUUCUUUACCUUCUUUCUUUCUUUCUUUCUUUCUUUCUUUCUUUCUUUCUUUCUUUCUUUCUUUCUUUCUUUCUUUCUUUUUGAGGGGCUAUUCUAUUCUUUCAAGCUAAAUUCAUGAGCCAUUUAGGAAAAUAUUUUUAUAUUGUUUUAGAGUCACAUCCUGGUUUUGAUCUAAAAUAGUAACACUCACCAUUUUCACUAUUAGCCAAAUAAUAUUGCUAGUCCAAAACAAAUCCAUCAAAGAAUGACUAUUUAUUUGUUUAUACUGAGAAAGUGCACUCAUGGAAAGCAAUUCUGAAAGUGUAUUAGCUGAGUGGGUCACUACUUAAUUUAAAUGUUUUAAUGUGUUUAUUUAGAGAAUCUGGAAAGAGUGUGAUUAAUAUAUAAUUCUAUUUUUAAAUGUGUAUUUAUGUGUAAAAUAGCACAGAAGGGUACUUCCAAAAGUCCAUGGAAAAUGCAUAUCAUGAAAAAAACCAUGGAUGGAAUACAAAAUUUUUUCUUGCAUCAAAAUAAACUUAUCAUUGAAUUCCAUUUCCCAUGAAAUUUCUGAAGAACUUUAAAAAAAAAAGAUUUGUUUUUAUUUAUUUGAAAUUCAGAGCUAACAGAGAUAGAGGGAGAGCAAGAGAGCGAAAGCAAGCAAGCAAGAAAGAAUCUUCCAUCUUUAAAUUUACUCCCCAAAUUGCCACAACAGCCAGGGCUGGGCCAGACAAAGCCAGGAGCCAGGAGCUUCUUCCAGGUCUCCUACACGGGGACCUUUCACUGGCUGAUUUACUCCACAAGUGACUGUAACAGCCAGUGCUGGCCAGUCAUAAACCAAGAGCCAGGAACUCCAUCUGGGUGUCUCAUGUGGGUGACAGGGACCCAAGUACUUGAGCCAUCAUCUGCUGCCUUCCAUGGUUCACAUUAGUAAGAAGUUGGAUCAGGAGCAAGGAGUAGCCGGGACUUGAACCAGGCAGUCCGUUAUGGGGUGUGAUGUCCUAAUCCACGACUUACCACUGUGCUACAAUACUCACCUCAAAGUUAGUGUUUAGAAAAUAUUCAGCUGAGGGGGCCAGGGCUGUGGUGUAGCAGGUAAAGCUGCAUUCCAUGUGGGCACCAGUUUGGGUUCCAGCUGCUCCACUCCCAAUCCAGCUUCCUGGUUAGGGCCUGGGAAAACCAGUGGAUGGCCCAAGUGUUGGGCCCCUGCCAUCCACAUGGGAGACCCAGAGGAAGCUCCUGGUUCCUGGCCUCAGCCUGGCCCAGCCCUGGCUGUUGCAGGCAUUUGGAGAGUGUCCCAAAAGAUAGAACAUCUCCCUGUCUGUCUCUCUGUGUGUUGCUCUGCCUUUCAAAUGGAUGAAAAUAAAUAAACAAAAAAACUUUUUUCAAAUCUACAAGAUAAUCUUAAAAGGCAGGCUUUGGGGUCAAGGGAAGAAGAAACAGUGUAAGGAAGGAGAAUGGUGGUUAAUUACCAGAAGCCUGCCUUAACAGAUGCAAGGCAAAUCUACAUCAUGGCUUCAUUAGCAUAAACCAUGAUGGAAGCCAACAGAGAUGGUGUCACAGAGGCAUUCAGGCAGGGAGCCCAAGAGGUGAGAAAGGCCCACGUAGUGAGCAGAGCAUCUCCCUUGCAGGAGGCUGAGCUCUGCUCUCUGCUUGGAACUCUGAGGAAACUCUCUCUUGGGGCAUCGCAUGACCCCUGGGGGGCAGCCACGGCAGAGGGGACACGGCGGCGGAUGUGUUCCCACCAAGAGCGGGAACUCAGAUUGCUCUUCAUUUCCUGGUGGCCAGGACAGCGGGCUGGUGAGCUGGCUGGGUGGCAGCUGAUGCUACUGCAAGUUCACAUGUGACCUUGCAGCCAAAGGAAGGGGAGACUGCCCCAGCCCCGUUCCAGGUGUGGCUGUAACAGUGGUCCCAGUGGCUCGCUCAUAUGGUUCCUGGGGCCAGCAAGGGUGGGCUGGAUGUUCAGGGUGCAGGAGACGGUGCUGGGCUCUCCUGGAGCAGGGACAAUGCAAGGUUGGGGUCAGAGGAGGCACCUAGGUGGGGAUGUCACCCCUCGGCCCAUGGUAGCCCACCUGGGCCCUGAGGGCCCUUGACUCUGAAGCCAGGCUCCCCCUUCAGCCAGACCUGACCUUGAAAAGGAGGAAGGGAAAGCAUGCUGGGGAGGAAGGAAGCGACCCUGGCAGGAAAGCUCCACUUUGAACUAACUGAUGACUUGGGGGAAACAGAUUGUUGUAAACCGGAAGAGGCUGUUACCUUUCACUGGCACAUUUGUUUCCCUCUCUCCCCAACUACCAGCAGGAGUGGGAGUGGGUGAGACCAGUUAUGAAAAUGAAAUACGGAAACUGCCUUUUAAAAAACACCUGAGCCACGGCGUCUAGGGCCCCACCCGGCUGGGUGAGUGCAUGAUUAUAAUUCCCUCGAGUCCUGGGAAGGAACAGUCCCCAGUGCUUUGAACGCAUUUAAUCAGGGUUCACGGCAUAGACUGGCGGGCGGCCCUCAGGAACAGCAGGAGAAGGAAGUGAUGUUGCAGCUGAGACUCAGGAGAGCACAGCAGGUGCUGGGAGGAGGAGAAGGGCGGGAGCUGGGCUGGAGUCGCAGAAGCGCAGGUGAGUGGUCGCAGGUGAAGGGGCGUCUGAGGCCAGGCACCUGCUAAUGCCUGCUGCCGGUUACCUAGUUACACAACUGUGCAGGUGAUGCCACGUGCUCCUCUCUUCUGCAGGGGAAGACAACGACAGUCACCGCAACACAGAGUGGGUUUUCACAGCGUCCAGAGAUGGUCUGAGGGGGAGUAGAGACGACAGGCCUGCAGAAACGCAAGGCAGCUGCUAGGCGCUUAGAUCACGGCCACCCUGCCCACACCUGCCAACUCCCAUGCCCCGCCCCCAGCUCCCAGGCGUUCCUGAGCCCUGCCAACCCUUGUCUCCCUCCAGCCCCCCCACCACAGCCUUCUGAAGGGCUAGCCCAGAAGCAGGGCUUUCCCUGGGGUGCUGAGCCGGAGGAAAGGAGCUGAGACACAGGCAGAGACCAGAGGAUGGGGGCACCCACAAGCAGUGAGAGAGCAGAUGGGGUGGAGCCCAGACAGCUGGCAUCAGCUGCCCUCCCUCCUGCAGCCAGUGCUCAGUGCAGUUGCCUGGGCCAUUAAAAUUUUAAGCUUAGCUGACAUUAUUGUUUUUUCAUUUAAUUUUUACUUAUUUUAUUUAUUUGCAAGACAAAGGAAAAGAGAGAUCUCCCAUCCACUGGUUCACUCCCCGAAUGCCUGCAGGAGCGGGUGCUAGACCAGGCCAAGAACUCAGUCCAGGUAUCAGUAGCAGGACUGGAGCCACCACCGGCCGCCUCCUAGGAUGCACAUUAGCAGGAAACUGGAGCCAGGAGUGAAACCCGGGAACUCUGCUAUGGGACGCUUGUGUCCCGGGCGGUGUCCUAACUGCUGUGCCAAAUGCCCUCUCCUAUAUUCUUUUAGCUGGGUUUGCUGCCCCUGCCCCAGUUGCCCUACACUCCUUGGAGAGAGCUUUUGUUAUAAAACACAUCAGAUAUUGUCUCUCCUCUGCAGGAAACCCUUUAAUGGAUCCCAUUUUGCUAUUAAUGAAAUCAGCAUUCCUUUUAGGCUUGUAAGCCUGGCCCCUGCCUACCUGUGUCAGCUCGUCCCACUUGUUCCCCCCACCCAGGGCACCGUAGGUUCCCUGGUUGUCUCAGAGGUGCCCGCUUUCUCCUGCAGUUCCUUCUGAGCCUCCUUGUGCCUGGGUCCUUCUGUCACUCAGGUCUCAGCGCAGGCUCACUGGCUCAGGGAGGCCUGUCCUGAACACUGCCGCCUACAGCAGCACCCCUUCCAGGCCCUUUCCAUCGCGCCGCCCUACUUACUUCUUUCAGGGCUCGGGCCAUCUGACAUUUUCCUACUUAUUUAGUUUCUUGUUUCCUGUCCAUAUCAGAAUUUAAAUUCCUUGAGGUCAGGAACUUUUCCUGGAAUAAUGCUUGCUCCAGAGAAGGCACUCGAUGAGUGGGCCUUUCACCGUGGAUGGACCAAGGUAAGGGGAUGACUCUGCACCACAAAGACUCCUUGUCAUACGCCUGGGCAUGAUGGUGGCUAUAACACAAAGAAAACAUAUGUGUGUGCACAUGUGUAUGUGUGUGGGGGAGUGCCUACCAAGAGGUGAUGUGCUUUCUGCCUUCUGCCUGUGACAAACAUAACAGAAACUCAAAAAGAAGUGCUGUGGUCCCAUUAGAACAUGCUGCUUUUGGUGGGGGAAUUGAAAAAAAUUUCCUGAGUCCAAAUUUAGUUCAAUGGUUUAAUAACCUUGGGCAUUUACUGCUGGGCAAAAGCACUGGGCAUAAAAAGCUGAACAAGACUUGGUCCCUACCCCUGGUCCCUACCCUUGGGGAGCACACAAGUCUAGCAGAGGAGCUAGCCCCAGGAAAAGUGCUUGCCUCCUUUACCAUGGUAACGAGAGGAGUAGCCAAGGUGGGGGGCUGUGCAGGAGAGUUCAGUGAUAGUUUUGUCACAAGGUUGCUACGAAGACUAAAUGGGUGACUACAUGUGACUACUUAGCCUGGUGCCUGGAUGUAGUCUGAGUUCAAUAAAUGUUAAAUGAUUAUGAUUAUUCUCUGCAAUCAUCAUUUCCAGUAGUUAUUCUGGUGAACUAAUUCUUUCUGGUGGUAUUGUGGCUACCAUUCCAUUAUGUACAUGAGACAUACUACCAUAGAAGCAGUCACAAUCACAGGGAGCUACUUGGUGUGAUGGUUGUAACACAACUCAGGGAGAUGAGGUUUGGGUGUCAAAUGUAGCUGUGGCCUGGUAGGUGACCAGAAGAUACAAUAGAACCUCCUUUGCUAUUAAGGACACCCAUAGAACUAGGAAAGAUGCAGUCAGCCUUAGAAACAGAGCUCUGGUGUUGUAUUCCUAAAUAGGUGAUUGCAUCAGCCUGAGAAGUAGGGUGGCUCAAAAGAUUAUGUCUGGCCGGUGCCGCGGCUCACUAGGUUAAGCCUCCGCCUGCGGCACUGGCACACCGGGUUCUAGUCCCGGUCGGGGCGCCAGAUUCUGUCCUGGUUGCCCCUCUUCCAGGCCAGCUCUCUGCUGUGGCCAGGGAGUGCAGUGGAGGAUGGCCCAAGUGCUUGGGCCCUGCACCCCAUGGGAGACCAGGAGAAGCACCUGGCUCCUGCCUUCGGAUCAGCGCGAUGCACCAGCUGCAGCGCGCUGGCCGUGGUGGCCAUUGGAGGGUGAACCAAUGGCAAAAGGAAGACCUUUCUCUCUGUCUGUCUCUCUCUCACACUGUCCACUCUGCCUGUCAAAAAAAAAAAAAAAAAAAAAAGACUAUGUCUAUCACCAGCUUUGGAUGAGGAGGAUAGAAGCUAAAGGAAAAAGUCCUAGAAGGUAUGAAAACACUGGACUCAAAGGCAGGAGCCCUGGUUCGCAUUCUGGAUGUGCCAUUAGCUCUCUAUGAACUUGACCAAGGCUUAAAUUCUCUGUGUCUCAGUCAUCUCUUUGUAGAAUGAGAGGUCUGCCUGAGUCUCAAGGCAUCUGUACUAGACUGUUUGCAAAGAUGGCCACAAUUUCUCCCCUCCCUGCCUGUUUUUUCCCCUUUGCUAAAUAGUUUUGCUGUUUUUCCUAAUAAGAAGCAGAAUCUAUUUCCUCUCCCUUUGCAUAUGGGCUAACCUUGUUAACUUGCUUUGAGUGAGAGAAUGUAGUAGAAGUGACAUCAUUUUCACAUCUAAGUAUUAAGAGGUUUUGCAGUUUCCACUGUCACUCUCAGAAUGAUGCUGGUGGUGGUAUGAAUGAGCUAGUCUUGUUGAGACUGAAAGAUCAUUUGCAGAGAGAGGUUCAACCAGUAGCCAGCACCAACCAUCAGACACGAGACUGAGGCUACCUUGGACCAUCCAACCCCAGUUAAAUUGCCAGAUGAACACAGUCACAUGAGUGACCCCCAUAAAACCAGCAGAAGAAGCGCUCAGCUGAGCCCAAUCAAAAUUGCUGACCCCCUAGAACUAUGAACAAAUAAAUGGCUGUUGCUUUAACACACGAAGUGGUGGUUUAUCACAUGCAAAUGGAUAGCUGAUGCCAACCCUUUUAUAGCUGACAUUCUAGAAACUGAUUUUAUUGCUCUUACAAAGGAGUCAGGCCGUAUAAUCUUUUAGUUAUGUGUUAGGGUUGGCUGCGGAAUGGCUGGCUGGCAAGAUCUGACUGGUUCUGCACGGAGAGGGGCUCACUCAUUGCUCCUUUCUUGGCAACUUUCCUGUAGCAUCUCACACAUGCCUGUCUGGGCUUCCCUGGAGGUAGCCCCAUGCUAAAGGCACAGAAUUUCAAAGUUAGGGGAACUAUUGAUUGAUUGGAGAGGCAGAGACACAGAGACAGAGAGAUAUGGGGGUCUGGUAGGAGAAAAGCCAGGAAGCCAGGAGUCACCUUGGGGUCUCCUAUGGGGUGGCAGGGACCUAAGCACUUGAGCCAUCACUUGCUGCCUCCCAGGGUCUGCAUUUGCAGGAAGCUGGAGUUGAGAACCGGAGCUGGGUAUUGAACACAGGCACUCCAGUAUAGGACAUGGGCACCCUAAGAGACGUCUUAACUACGGUACCAAACACCCACCGCAGAGGGAACUUUUAAGGCCCAGCGUGUUCACCUUUCUACUAUUGUUCUUGUGACAUGCAUGAAGACACCAAGGCCUGAGACGUGAAGGAACAGAGGGAACCGGCGAUAAUGUUAGGCUCAAAGCUCAGGCCUCUUAGCUCCAAAUCUGGAGCUCUGUACAUUGCAUCCAAAGACUCCUCCACUGCCCGCAGCCUCCUUCCUGACCCUUGAACUUGCACUCAUCCCUUCCAGCUUUGUAUUCCAGGCAUGGGACUACUUUCCUCUUCUGAUUCCAGGUCCACACAUUACCUGAAGAAUCCUGGCUUAGAUAAAUUCCAACCACCAAAUGACAGUGGUUAUCCUAACAGCAGCAUAUAUUCAGAAAGUCUUUUUUUUUGUCAUGUGCCCCUGAUGGGCCAGCCUCUGCCUGGGUGUGGGGGCUACAGUGAAGACACAUGUGAGGAGUUUACAUUCCUGGGGAAGGCGGGCAGAGAACACACAUGGGAAUCAGAGCCUGGCAUGAUGAGAGGUAAGCAAGACAAUGGAGCAGAGGUGACCAGGCUGGAGAAUGUGGGAUCAGGAAUGGCCUGUUUGAGAAUGUGACAUUUGAGCUGAACCCUGAUGGUGACAAAUCAACAACCAUUCAAGACAGGAAGGGAGCAACGGCCCUGAGGCAGGAAUAUACUUAUCUGAGAAAGAGAGGUGAGGCAUGCAGUGAGGAGACAGGUGGAGGCAGUGGCUACCUGACACGGAGCUAGGAAUCUAGGUGUCUCAGUGGGCAGAGGAUCAGGUUCUAAGAAAUAUGACAGAUUUACUGAAUUUGUUUAAAAAAUUAUUCAAAGAGUAGAAGGAUGGAGAGAGACAGAAAUAGAUAGAAUUCCUAUCCACCAAUUUACUACCCAAAUGCCGGCAACAGUUAGGACUGGGCUGAGGCCAGAAUCAGGAGGCAGGAAUGCAAUCCACGUCUCCCAUAUGAGUGGCAGGAACCCAAUUACUGAGCCAUCACCAUCGCCCCCCAAGGUCUGCAUUGGCAGGAACCUGGAAUCAGGAGCCAGAAUCCAGGAACUGAACCCAGGCACUCCAGUGUGAAUGUUGGUGUCUUAACUGCUAGGCUAACUGCUUGCUCCCAAGAUUUACAUUUUUACAAAAUAUUUAUCUAUUUAUUUGAAAGGCAGAGUGACAGAGAGAGGGGGAAGUAGAGAAAAAUAUCUUCCAUCUGCUGAUUCAUCCGCUAGAUGCCUGCAACAGCCAAGUCUAUGCAAGGCCAAAGCCAAGAGCCAGGAACUCCAUCUGAGUCUUCCACAAGGAUGGCAGGGUCCCACGUACUUGGGCCAUCAUCUGCUGUCUUCCAGACACUUUAGCAGGAAGUGUGGAGUAGCCAGGAUUCAAACUAGGCACCCUGACGUGGGAUGUAGGCCUCUCCAGUGAGGCUUAACCCUCUGUGCCACAAUACCACCCCAGAGUAACGUAUUUUUAAAAAAUCGCUCCAGCUGCUUGGAUAGAGAAGGGAAGUUGAAGGUUGAGAGUGACAUUGGGUGGUUUAUUGAGUGCCACCGACACAUGGGGCACUUUGUGCAUUUUAGUUCUAAUCCUCUCAACACUUCAAAAUGUAUCUCAUUAUACCUCUUCUGUGGCUAAGGAAAUGGAGAUUAGCAGGGGUUAGGAAACUUCCCCAAAGUUGAAUUUGAACCUGGAACCAUCUGUUCCCCUUGGUGACAGCCUGUCCCAUGUAGUAGGUGGCCUUCCUAAGAUGGUCAGCCAACCCCUGCGCUGAUAAAUUUUCCUGAUUAUCAUUGUAUUUUGAAUUGUGAAAUGUUAAAGCUUGAAGCUUCUAAUGGCAAGUUCCUUGAAGAAAGGAGUGGUACCUUGCCAUUUGGUUAUGGCACCAUCUCUGAUGCAUAGUAGGUGGUAAUACAGUAUCUGAUCAGUGAAUGAAUGAAUGAAUGCAUGAAUGAAGGGGUUCCAAUUGCGAGCAUUUUCUGAACUGCUCCCCACCUCAGGCCCACCAUUUUCAAAUGAGAGCUCGCGUGUCUUUCUCAGAAUCACUGUGGUCAAACCUGCGGUGCCAGUGCAUGUACUUAGGGCAGAGUUCUUGUUUGACCUUCCAUUUUGGUGUGGGAAACUCCUCGCAUCGGGAACAGUGUCUAUUUUGUAUUUGUGCCGUGUCAUGUUGGGAGUAUGUGGAGCCUAGGAAGAGGUUCAACUUGGAAGUAAGUUUUCUCCCUGAAAAUGAAAUUAAACAAAUUAAAUCCACAUGCUAUGGGAAAAAACCAAUGCCUUCUAGGCCUCCUGGAACAGCUAGUGAGCUGGAGUUUAAUGUUCAAAGAAAGAGCAUUUGAACAGAACAGGGUGUGGUCAGAAGGGAAUGCAAAGAGAAAAACCAUCUUGGCUUGACUGUCCAGGAGUAUGGGGGUGGGAGCACUGGAUGUGGGGAAUUGGGCUUUCUGGCCUUCCGAGUGGACCCUGUAUGAGGGGCAGAACAAAUUGGUCCAUUAAACCGCGUUGGGAUCUGAAGGCAACAGCCCUGAAGACGUUGUCCUGAUGACACGUUCAUCGCUGAGCUCUGCCAAUGUUAAGUUGGCUUCCUGGUUACCUUGGGACUCCUCCGGACAGCCUGGGAGUUGCAGGUGGUUCAGUCACUUUGGGAAAGGAAUGUUCUCCUGACUUCUAAAUAAAUCUGCAAGUGACUUCAAUCUUUGAAGAAGUUCCAAGCAAAAGGUAUCACUGAGAAUCUAGUCUUCAAAGUUAAUAAAGAAUCAAGACACCAACGUUGCUUUGAAGUUCUGGGUUUGCUAAAAACUGGAUGAAUGCUAAAACACAGUUAGCAAAUUUAUGAUCUAGUUUAAACCAUUGAGCCAAUUGAUGCUUUAAACAGGUUUUUGACAAUUAUUUAUUUAUUUUCUCGAAAGGCAGAGAUUUACAGAGAGACAGAGAAAGAUCUUACAUCUGCUGGUUCACUCCAGUACUUGAGCCGUCAUCUGCUCUCUCCCAGGGUGCACAUUAGCAGGAAACUAGAUCAGAAAGUAGAGUAGCAGGGACUCAACCGUGGACUCUGAUAUAGGAUGUGGACAUCCCAAGUGACAGCUUAACUGCUGUGCCACAUGCAUACCCCCAAUUGAUGCUUUCAACAUACAACAUGCAAUUCUAUAAUUACA